rnacentral:rRNA from 1 species
UCCAGACUCCUACGGGAGGCAGCAGUGGGGGAUAUUGCACAAUGGGGGGAACCCUGAUGCAGCGACGCCGCGUGGGUGAAGGAGCGUUUCGGCGCGUAAAGCCCUAUCGGCAGGGAAGAAGGAGGACGGUACCUGACUAAGAAGCCCCGGCUAACUACGUGCCAGCAGCCGCGGUAAUACGUAGGGGGCAAGCGUUAUCCGGAUUUACUGGGUGUAAAGGGGGCGCAGACGGCAGCGCAAGCCAGGAGUGAAAGCCCGGGGCCCAACCCCGGGACUGCUCUUGGAACUGCGCGGCUGGAGUGCAGGAGGGGCAGGCGGAAUUCCUGGUGCAGCGGUGAAAUGCGUAGAUAUCAGGAGGAACACCGGUGGCGAAGGCGGCCUGCUGGACUGCGACUGACGUUGAGGCCCGAAAGCGUGGGGAGCAAACAGGAUUAGAUACCCGAGUACA